rnacentral:rRNA from 1 species
AGAGUUUGAUCAUGGCUCAGGGUGAACGCUGGCGGCGUGCUUGACACAUGCAAGUCGAACGGUAUGUGGCAACACAUAGAGUGGCGAACGGGUGAGUAGCACGUGGGAACGUAUCUUUUGCAGGGGGAUAACUGACCGAAAGGACAGCUAAUACCGCAUAAGUCCGAGAGGAGAAAGGUGCAACAGCAUCGGCAGAAGAGCGGCCCGCGGUCCAUCAGCUAGUUGGUGAGGUAAGGGCUUACCAAGGCGACGACGGAUAGCCGGCGUGAGAGCGUGGCCGGCCACAAGGACACUGAGAUACGGGUCCUACUCCUACGGGAGGCAGCAGUGCGGAAUUUUAGAUAAUGGAGGGAACUCUGAUCUAGCGACGCCGCGUGCAGGAAGAAGGUCUUCGGAUUGUAAACUGCUGUGGUAAGGGAAAAAUGCUAUGUAGAGUGGAAAGCUACAUAGAGGGAUGGUACCUUACUAGAAAGCCCCGGCUAACUACGUGCCAGCAGCCGCGGUAAUACGUAGGGGGCGAGCGUUACCCGGAAUCACUGGGCGUAAAGGGAGCGUAGGUGGCCUAACAUGUCAACUGUGAAAACCCGGAGCUCAACUCCGGACUUGCAGUUGAAACUGGUAGGCUUGAGGACGGUAGAGGAAGACGGAACUGCCAGUGUAGGGGUAAAAUCCUUAGAUAUUGGCAGGAACGCCGGUGACGAAGGUGGUUUUCUGGGCCGGUUCUGACACUGAUGCUCGAAAGCCAGGGGAGCGAACGGGAUUAGAUACCCCGGUAGUCCUGGCCCUAAACGAUGUUCACUAGGUGUGGGGAGCGGAAAGCUCUCCGUGCUAAAGCUAACGCGAUAAGUGAACCGCCUGGGGAGUACGCCCGCAAGGGUGAAACUCAAAUGAAUUGACGG